CCUACGGGAGGCAGCAGUGGGGAAUCUUCGGCAAUGGGCGCAAGCCUGACCCAGCAACGCCGCGUGAAGGAAGAAGGCUUUCGGGUUGUAAACCUCUUUUGACAGGGAAGAGCAGAAGCCGGUAUCUGUCGAAUCAGCUACGGCUAACUACGUGCCAGCAGCCGCGGUAAUUCGUAGGUGGCAAGCGUUGUCCGGAUUUACUGGGUGUAAAGGACGUGUAGCCGGGCUGACAAGUCAGAUGGGAACUCCGGGGGCUCAACGCCGAACUGCAUUUGAAACUGUUGGUCUUGAGUAUCGGAGAGGCGGGUGGAAUUCCUAGUGUAGCGGUGAAAUGCGUAGAUAUUAGGAGGAACACCGGCGGCGAAGGCGGCCUGCUGGACUGCGACUGACGUUGAGGCUCGAAAGCGUGGGGAGCGAACAGGAUUAGAUACCCCGGUAGUC
rnacentral:rRNA from 1 species